ACGAAAAACCAGCAAAAUGGCUGCGCGAGCGACCAAAAAAUCAAACAAAUCAGGAAGAAUUGCGUGGAUGGCAAGAGACCCCUCGGUCCCCCAGUGUUCCUUGUGCCAUGGAAAAGGGUGACCCAGUCACUAUGCGCCGCUCAAUUAAGGCUUGACCAAUGUGUGACCGUCCUUCGGGAACACUAUCGCUGCGGCGAGAUGUGAGACGAGUUAGGAUGGAGACGUUGCUAGGAUACAAG
ensembl:lncRNA